CGCGGGAUGGAGCAGUCUGGUAGCUCGUCGGGCUGGUCGUAGGUUCAAAUCCUGCUCCCGCAACCA
rnacentral:tRNA from 1 species